rnacentral:lncRNA from 1 species
CUCCGUAGAGUUCCGGGUACUUUUCAGACUAUGUGAACUCUUUGAGAUGUCAGACAGCUCUUUAAGGCUGGUAUUAUUCUUGUUUUUCUGAGAAAGAAACUAAGGCCCAAGAAUAUAAAGCAGCUUGCCUCUCACAUCAUAUAGGUGAGCAGCUGCCGGGAAAAAGAUGAGAUGGAAAAGGAUCUUCAAGCUUUGGGACUGCAGUACAUCCCAAACCAGGAAGGCUCCAACCAAAUCCUUCCUGAGGGAUCGAACUCGGGUCCUCGCGCUUGUGCAGCAGGCAACGAAACCACUGAGCUAAAUCCCUGGCCCGUCUGAUUCUUAAAUUAGCCCACUGAUUGUUUUGACAUAGUUCUGGGUAGGAUUAAGAGUGCCCCAACCUGGGUGCGAGUGCUACCUGCCCUAAAGGUGGGUUGCCUGGAUAAAAUAUAAGGGACAGAAAGAGGGUUGCUGUGGUCGAUUGCUGCUUCCUCGCUUGGUGGUUUACUACUGCCUACCUGCCAUGAACUGUUUCUGCUCUGGGACGCCCCUCUGCCAUGUGCCACCCUGCCUUGGAGCCAGCUGAUUAUGGACUGAAACCUCUACAAACCGUGAGCUACAAUAAACCUUUCCUCC